rnacentral:piRNA from 1 species
UGGAGCUGAUUAUAAUGGCGUCUCCUCUGC